GACGAACCGUGCGAACGUUGUUCGGAUUCACUGGGCUUAAAGGGCGCGUAGGCGGGCGACCAAGUCAGGGGUGAAAUCUUUCGGCUCAACCGGAAAACAGCCCCUGAUCCUGGCCGUCUGGAGGGAGGUAGGGGUCUGUGGAACUUCUGGUGGAGCGGUGAAAUGCGUAGAUAUCAGAAGGAACGCCGGUGGCGAAAGCGACGGACUGGACCUUCUCUGACGCUGAGGCGCGAAAGCUCGGGUAGCAAACGGG
rnacentral:rRNA from 1 species